AGCUCCAAUAGCAUAUGUUAAAGUUGUUGCGGUUGAAAAGCUCGUAGUUGGACUUCUGCUGAGGGAUGCUAACCCGCCCUCUGGGUGUAGGUCUGGCCUGCCUCAGUAUCUUCUUAGAGAAUGUAGACGCACUUGACUGUGUGGUGCACUAUCUAAGGCUGUUACUUUGAGGAAAUUAGAGUGCUUCAAGCAGGUCGUUGCCCUGAAUACAUUAGCAUGGCAUGAUAAGUCAGAACCUCUUGUUUUUCUUUGUUGGUUUAAGGGCAGAGGGGAGGGUAAAUAGGAAUAGUUGGGGGUAUUCAUAUUUGACUGUCAGAGGUGAAAUUCUUGGAUUUGUGAAAGAUGGACUACUGCGAAAGCAUCUGCCAGAGAUGUCUUCA
rnacentral:rRNA from 1 species